CGGCCCUGUGUUCCACAGCAGGGCCUUGUAUGUGUGUAUGUGCAUUUGUUGUUGAAGUUGCUUGUGUGUGUGUGUCUCCUCUUAAUUGACAGGAUUUACCACCCCCCCCCUGAUUGGCUGCGGACCCAGGAUCGUUAGUGGCUGCACCUGGUUGGAGCUCAAAAAGCCACAGUCUUGAGGCCCCUGGGCGCUCGCUCUCUGGCUCUGCCUCGACAUGUACUAUUGGGGAAGGGAGCCGUUGUGGCUAGACUAGAGGCCCAUGGGCAUACAUCACCCGCAGCCCUGGUUGGUGACACACUUGGACCUUGAACAGCGGCGUGUCAGCAGUCCCCUCCCUUCUAGGGAGCAGGCGUAACA